UAUGCUCGAGAUUGAAAAUAUUUUUACACAUUAAUUGUAUAUUAAUGUAUAUAACCUUUUUCGGGAAAUUAUUAGUUCGCAUUCGUUCGCGUUCGAUGCGUGUUUCGACCUGUCGAGCAUAUCCCCUCUCUCAAUAAUUCGAUAAUCGAAAUUGUAGCGCGAGCUGUUAUUGUACUAUCGAUAGUUGUAGAGUGUAGACGCGUUAUUUCUUGAGGUGUGUGAUUUAUCUGUUGCGUAGUUUUUUACUUCUAUAAUUAUAUUUUGUUAUUAUAUACGUUAAUAUUCAAUUACGUGUUUAAUAUUUGUGCGUCAAUUAGUGUUUUUUAUUAUAAUUGAAAAUUCUUUGGCGAUUAAAUUAUUCUAUUUUUUUCGUUCAUCGAUCUUUUAGAGUUACAGGUUAGUAUUACAUAUCUUAUAUUAUGACUUUUUAAAAUAGAAUUGUGUGCUUGAUUAUUAUUUUGUACUAUUAUAAUUGAUUAAUUCAGUAUAUUUUAUACAUUUAUUUGAAAAUUUUGAUUUCUUUGUGCAGAUUAUUAGUUGACAGUUGAAGUGAUAAAAUGAUGAAAAGGCGGGAAAAAUUUCAAUAUGGACGCCAUAAGGAUCAAUGACUUGAACAAAUGAGUCAGUGAUUCAAGAAUCAUAAUAAGACAAUAAGACAAUAAUAUAAUCAUUCAUCAUGAAAAAGAUAUUUUUCUACUUGAAUAAUAACUUUCUGAUGGACCAUGCAGAAUUUUGAUGGCAAUGUUCUUCGCAUCUAAUGGUGAGUCGCAUGCUUUUUUAUUCCUCUGGUCAUUCAAUCAUGUCGUAGGACGAAAGGUUCGAAUCGACACGGAUGACUGGUUGUAUACGUAGAUUUUUUUUUACGAGUACAGUGAUGGCAGGUAUUCUUUAUAUCUGCGAAUAAUAACAUUUCAUAUUUUGUUUUUAGAUCAGGUUAGGUCUUCUUGCAUAUCGCGUUUUUUA